rnacentral:rRNA from 1 species
GAGGUGAGAGCCUGACCCCCACCGAUGGAACUGAGAACGGUCCAUACUCCUACGGGAGGCCGCAGUCGAGAAUCUUCCGCAAUGGGCGAAAGCCUGACGGAGCGACGUCGCGUGGUUGAUGAAGUCCUUCGGGAUGUAAAGACCUUUUAUGAAGGAGAAAGUGCGCUUUUGGCGUAUUGAUGUUACUUCAUGAAUAAGGGGCUGCUAACUCUGUGCCAGCAGCAGCGGUAAUACAGAGGCCCCAAGCGUUACCCGGAAUCACUGGGCGUAAAGUGUGUGUAGGCGGUUGUGUUAGUCUUCUGUUAAAUUUCCGCGCUUAACGUGGAGUCCGCAGGGGAAACGGCACAACUAGAGGGUGUGAGAGGUUUGUGGAACUCAUAGUGUAGGGGUGAAAUCCGUUGAUAUUAUGGGGAACACCAAAAGCGAAGGCAACAAACUGGCACACUCCUGACGCUGAGACACGAAAGCGUGGGUAGCGAACGGGAUUAGAUACCCCGGUAGUCCACGCCCUAAACGAUGUCCGUUAGCUCUUUGGAGUAUCGACCCUCUGAGGGGCAAAGCUAACGCGUUAAACGGACCGCCUGGGUAGUACGGCCGCAAGGCUAAAACUCAAAGGAAUAGACGGGGGCUCGCACAAGCGGUGGAUCAUGUGGCUUAAUUCGUCGAUAAACGAAGAACCUUACCAGGAUUUGAAAUCAAACUGAAAGUUCCGUGAAAGCGGAACCCUCUUCGGACAGUUUGGCAGGUGUUGCAUGGCCGUCGUCAGUUCGUGAUUUGAAUUGUUCCCUUAAGUGGGGAAACGAACGCAACCCUUAUUGCCUGUUACAAGUGUCAGGCGAGACUGCUCCCUCACGGGAGAGGAAGGUGGGGAUGACGCCAGGUCAGUAUGACCCUUUGAUAUCCUGGGCUGCACACGUGAUACAAUGGUUACUACAACAGGACGCAAUACCGUAAGGUGGAGCAAAUCCUUAUAAAAGUAGCCCAAGUUCGGAUUGAGGUCUGCAAUUUGACCUCAUGAAGUUGGAAUCGCUAGUAAUCGCAGGUCAGCUAUACUGCGGUGAAUACGUUCUCGAGCCUUGUACUCACCGCCCGUCAAGUCAAGGAAGUCGGGAGUGCUCAAAGUUCCAUUUCGGUGGACCUACAGUAAACUCGAUAACAGGGGCUAAGUCGUAACAAGGCACGGCUAGCGGAAGCUGGUCGUGGAUUAUUUCC